GUCCGGGUGGCGGAAUAGGCAGACGCGCUAGCUUGAGGUGCUAGUGCCCUUUAUCGGGCAUGGGGGUUCAAGUCCCCCCUCGGACA
rnacentral:tRNA from 1 species